GGCCCAAUCCCAAUGUCCCCUUUAAACCCAGAACCCGCACAGACUUAAUUGACGUCACCUGGUAAGUGAGGCUGCAUGGGUUCAAAAUGCUAUAAAUAGUAAUGGGACAGCAUAUUGCGACAUUAUCAUGUUACUUUGACGACGUUGAAACAUGUUGCACAGUAGUAUUAUGUAGUAUUGGGAACUUUUUAUUUUAAGUUUUUUACUUUCUUCGCGGCACAGACCGGCUGUCUGAUUUCUACGUUCUGCAGGCUCUUUCCCUACAGAGUGGAUGAGAGGGCCUCCAUUCCCUCUUUGUUUGGGGACAGCGCAUCUGACGAGCAGAAGCAGCCCAUAAAGCAACGGAGGAUGCUGGGACCAGGAGAACAACAGAGGUUGGCUACAGAGGUAAGAUGUGAUGAAAUGGUCAGUGUUUCCCCUAUAACUUUUUUUCAGGCCUGGUAGUAUGUAGCCAAAACCAAAAACCCUGAACAAUCAGCACCUUAGUAAUCAUAUACUUGACUUGGACAUAGGCAUGUGUUCAGUCAGGAUCACUUGCAUCAAAAUAGCUUUAUUGCAAAUGAAAGCUGAUGAUGUAUCUUUUACAGAUGUUAUACCAUCCUGAUUCAUGCUAAGGAGAGGUUCUCCUUCACCCAGCACCUCAUCAGCGUAACACUGUUGCACGGAGAGUUGUUCCCACAACACAGUGUGAAGUUCCCCCGAUACAGCGCUUGAAA
rnacentral:lncRNA from 1 species